rnacentral:rRNA from 1 species
UGAUCCUGGCUCAGGAUGAACGCUGGCGGCGUGCUUAACACAUGCAAGUCGAACGAGCCUUCGGGCGAGUGGCGGACGGGUGAGUAACGCGUGGGAAUCUGCCCUCAGGAGGGGGAUAACGGCUGGAAACGGCCGCUAAUACCCCAUAUGCCGAGAGGUGAAAUGAAUUUCGCCUGAGGAUGAGCCCGCGUCUGAUUAGCUAGUUGGUGGGGUAAUGGCCCACCAAGGCGACGAUCAGUAGCUGGUCUGAGAGGAUGAUCAGCCACACUGGGACUGAGACACGGCCCAGACUCCUACGGGAGGCAGCAGUGGGGAAUUUUCCGCAAUGGGCGAAAGCCUGACGGAGCAACGCCGCGUGAGGGAUGAAGGCCUCUGGGCUGUAAACCUCUUUUCUCAAGGAAGAAGACAUGACGGUACUUGAGGAAUAAGCCACGGCUAAUUCCGUGCCAGCAGCCGCGGUAAUACGGGAGUGGCAAGCGUUAUCCGGAAUUAUUGGGCGUAAAGCGUCCGCAGGCGGCCUUGUAAGUCUGUCGUUAAAGCGUGGAGCUUAACUCCAUUUCAGCGAUGGAAACUACAAGGCUUGAGUGUGGUAGGGGCAGAGGGAAUUCCCGGUGUAGCGGUGAAAUGCGUAGAUAUCGGGAAGAACACCAGUGGCGAAGGCGCUCUGCUGGGCCAUAACUGACGCUCAUGGACGAAAGCCAGGGGAGCGAAAGGGAUUAGAUACCCCUGUAGUCCUGGCCGUAAACGAUGAACACUAGGUGUCGGGGGAAUCGACCCCCUCGGUGUCGUAGCUAACGCGUUAAGUGUUCCGCCUGGGGAGUACGCACGCAAGUGUGAAACUCAAAGGAAUUGACGGGGGCCCGCACAAGCGGUGGAGUAUGUGGUUUAAUUCGAUGCAACGCGAAGAACCUUACCAGGGUUUGACAUCCUGCGAAUCCCUUGGAAACGAGGGAGUGCCUUCGGGAGCGCAGAGACAGGUGGUGCAUGGCUGUCGUCAGCUCGUGUCGUGAGAUGUUGGGUUAAGUCCCGCAACGAGCGCAACCCACGUCUUUAGUUGCCAGCAUUCAGUUGGGCACUCUAGAGAGACCGCCGGUGAUAAACCGGAGGAAGGUGUGGAUGACGUCAAGUCAUCAUGCCCCUUACAUCCUGGGCUACACACGUACUACAAUGCUACGGACAAAGGGUUGCAAGCUCGCGAGAGUUAGCUAAUCCCAUAAACCGUGGCUCAGUUCAGAUCGUAGGCUGCAACUCGCCUACGUGAAGGAGGAAUCGCUAGUAAUCGCAGGUCAGCAUACUGCGGUGAAUACGUUCCCGGGCCUUGUACACACCGCCCGUCACACCAUGGAAGUUGGCCAUGCCCGAAGUCGUUACUCCAACCCUUGUGGAGGAGGACGCCGAAGGUGGGGCUGAUGACUGGGGUGAAGUCGUAACAAGGUAGCCGUACCGGAAGGUGCGGCUGGAUCACCUCCUAACAGGGAGACACAACUGAUCGUGAUGUCUGAGCGCCGACCAAGCGAAAGUUUGGGGAGCACAUUUGUCUCAGGCCACGGUCCUGUCAUCUCGAAGGUCGAUCGGUACCUCAAGGUGAGCCAUCAAACCCACGGAAGACCCAAAAGGAUCGAAAGAGACUGAAGGGAAUCAAGAGGCUGUUGUGAUGGACUCGUUUUCAGUUCCUAAACUUUGUCUAGGUCACCCCACAAAGGGUUUCACUGUUGCUGGAUGGGUUCUGAUCCUGAAAGGGAGAGGAAACAAAGGGCAAUGGUAGGGAUCCGAGUCAGAGUGAUUGUUCCUGGGCCAUUAGCUCAGGUGGUUAGAGCGCACCCCUGAUAAGGGUGAGGUCCCUGGUUCAAGUCCAGGAUGGCCCAUUCGUGUUUGGGGGUUUAGCUCAGUUGGUAGAGCGCCUGCUUUGCAAGCAGGAUGUCAGCGGUUCGAGUCCGCUAACCUCCAUCCAACCAGGUUAAGACCACAACAUGAAGCUGCAUCAGGAGGAAUUCUGAUGGGUGAAGUGACCAAGACGAUGUUCAGCUGAGGACUCCAGCCUCCUUUCAUUCCCCCCAUGUUGGCUCGAUGGUAUCGAGAAGCCAACAGAAAAGGUUGAAAGGAAGCUGGACUCGCUGAUCAGCGGCGCGAGCCGAUGAAUCAGUGACGCCAGCAAAGAACCUUGACAACUGCAUAGGUGAGUCUGGAAAAGAAAGCAUCUCAUGGAUGCCCAGACAGAAGUAGACAGAUCCUGGUAAUGCUAGGUGAGAGAAGCGGCUGUUUGGGAGAUUCUUGAGUUUAGAGCCGAGAGCUUCCAGCGUCUUUUCGCUCCGCCGAGGAGGGAAGAGUUUGAUUCUGCCUUUCAAACUAUCGAAGCCUGAGAGACAUCGGGAAACCGAAAGAUCAAAGGAAUAGAAAAGUGAAAGCAGAAGAAUGGGUCUCAACAAUCCUGAACGUUGGGAGUGUUAAUUGGUCAAGCUACAAAGGGCUCACGGUGGAUACCUUGGCACACAGAGGCGAUGAAGGACGUGGUUACCUGCGAAAAGUCUCGGGGAGCUGGAAACACGCUUUGAUCCGGGAAUCUCCGAAUGGGGCAACCCCUAGAACGGCCACCUGAAUCCAUAGGGUGGCGCGAGCCAACCCAGCGAACUGAAACAUCUUAGUAGCUGGAGGAAAGGAAAGUAAAAACGACUCCCUAAGUAGCGGCGAGCGAACGGGGAAGAGCCUAAACCGAUGGUUUCGACCAUCGGGGUUGUGGGACAGCAACGUGGACCAGUGACGUUAGUGGAAGCGUUUGAAAGGCGCGCCAUAGAGGGUGAAAGCCCCGUACGCGAAAGCGAAACUGGCCUAGCUGUAUCCCGAGUAGCACGGAGCACGUGAAAUUCCGUGUGAAUCCGCGAGGACCACCUCGUAAGGCUAAGUACUCCUGUGUGACCGAUAGCGAAACAGUACCGCGAGGGAAAGGUGAAAAGAACCCCGGGAGGGGAGUGAAAUAGAACAUGAAACCGUGAGCUACAAGCAAUGGA